CUCAUAUUUUCCCCAAGCUUCUUCCUGCUGUGAGCAAACUUUUUGACACCCUCAGUCUCAAGCAGCCUGAGAUUUUUCCUGGGUUUAAAUCUCAGAGACCUCAUCAGGCCCAAGUCAUUCAGAAAGCAUCUCUUACCAAGUUCUCCAUUGUCCCUGACCUUUGGCUUCCCAUCUUUAAAACAGGAAGAGGAAUACUGAUCCAUCUUAAUAGAAUGCGGCAAAGACAAACAGGAAACAGUGGGUGUUGGGAUUUCACGUGACUCUGAAGCUUCUGCCUGAUCCUGUUUCAUUAGAAACAGGAAAUGGACCCAGAAAUGGACCAUAUUGUGCACAACCUGAAAUAGGGCCCAGCAGAAACCACGCCAGGUAAGUUGCUCCUGGGGCCACUGUCUCUUUACGUGACGGUGUCAGGAUAG
rnacentral:lncRNA from 1 species